rnacentral:tRNA from 1 species
CGCCUGGUAGCCGGGCGCGGGCGCGCCGUACUGCGGCACGGCGGCCGAGCCGUGCGCCGGUGCGGCGUGCUGCGGCGGCAUGCCGGGGGGC